rnacentral:lncRNA from 1 species
UUAUGGAAACACCUUUAUUUCUUUCAGCGAACACUGCCUGACUUCAGCUGGGUCAAACCAUGGGGGAAUCCAGAUUUGAAUAUUUCAAGGUCUCUGCCCUUGCAGAAUCAGACAGAAACAAGUGACAACAUCGUAGUUAAGUGUGAAAACAGUAUGUUCAGAGAACGGUACAGAUAUGUUAGAAAGUUGGCUUUAGUCAUUAAACCUUAAGUAGAUGUGAUUUUUUUAAAGUUAAUGAGAUUCAUGAGUUUAUUUUCUUGUCAGAAGCACCAACAGACAAACCUAUACAUUUUUGGUGUGUGUUUUUCUGUUUUUUAAUCACAGUGCUUUUAUUAUAGAUUAUCUUCAGAAGUUAGUGCAGGUGGCAUGUGGAAGAUAAACAGGACAGACACUCAACCCUGCCUAGUUUGGGGAUGAGUCACUUUUCAAACUGCACAGUUAUAAGCAAAGUGCAUAUUCAAGAACCAAGUUAACAGGCCACCAGCAGACACCCAGGAAUUCCCAAAGGGACACAUAUAUCCCAUAAACUGCACUGCAAGAUAAUAUAUUCUCAUUGGCUCUGCAUGUCAGCAGGCCUGGGUUUGAAUCUCUGCAGUCUUUCUCCAUCCAGUUCUGUGGCCUUGGGCAAGUUAUGAAACCUCUCACUGACUCAGUGCCGUCAUUUGGACAGCAGGGUACAUAGCAAAUUCAAAGAAUGGAACUGAGAUUAAAUGAGAUCUCUGUAAAGUGCCUAGCACAUAGCAGAUACUCACUAAAUACCAGCCCUCUUUGCCUCCAAAAAGUUUUAGUGUCUAAAGUGUAAAAAGUGCCUCAUUGUUUAUACUUUGAGUGAAAGAAACCUUGGAACAGGGUUUGCCCCUGUAACAAAUGUUCUCUCUCAAUAAUAUUAUCCCCGUUUUCACAUGAAGCUGAGAUUCAGAGAGGUCAGAUUACCUCCCUUGGGUCCAGAUGAUUAAAUAAGAUUACAUUUGCUAAAUAAACUUCCAGCAUAGCAGAUGAUCAGUACAUGUAUAGCUCUCCUUGUCCCUCCCACAUUUAAUUUAUUUGUGUGACUUUGGUUUAGUGAUUGUGUUCAUGCUAGCAUCUUUGGUUUCAUCAUCAUAUCCCCAGUGCCUGGCACAGUCUUGGCACAUGGUAGGCACCCAAUCUGUUGAAUAAAUGACCCGAUCUCCGUAAUUACUUUACUGGAGAAACUCUGAAGACUAAUUUCCCUUUGAGCCCUAAACAAUGUUUGGAACCUGCUCAGGGAGAAUCGGGAAAGACCAAGACAGGAUUUCACCCAAAUAUAUCUAUGCAAGUUAUAAAGAUGCUCAUGGAUAGAGAGCAUGACUUCAGCUGGGCGUGGCAGCAUGUGCCUAUAGUCCCAGCUACUCAGGAGGCUGAGGCAGGAGGAUCAUUUGAGCCCAAGAGUUUGAGGCUGCAGUGAGCCAUGGUUGCGCCAUUGCACUCCAGCUUGGGUGACAGAGCAAGACCCUGUAUAGGAGACUUCAUGACCUUAUUAUUGUCAUUAAGUCACAGAAUCUGCCCAUGUGAUGGGCAGCCCUAACUCAUAGCUCACCUUCCAUUCACCAUCGUUUAAAUCCUGCUGUUCAGUCUCCCAGUAGGGAGGAAAACGUGUUUAAAUUACCAAAAUGUCUUUUUCGUUUGUUUGAGACAGGGUCUCUCUGUUGCCUACACUGGAGUGCAAUGGUGCAAUCUCAGCUUAUUGUAGCCUUGACCUCCUGGGCUCAAGUAAUUCUCCCACCUCAGCCUCCCAAAGUGCUGGGAUUGCAGGCAUGAGCCACUGUGCCUGGCAACAAAAUGUCAAUAAUGGUUACCUCUGGGUAACCAUCAGACUAUGGCAACUUUUGAUUGUCUUUUUUUUUUGAGACAAGGUAACACAGCUAGUUAGCGGCUAACCUGGGAUUAAAGCUCAGGCGGGCUGACCUCAAGGUCCAUGAAUUUUACCACUUUGCUCUACUGCCAGGAAAACUUUGAAGAAGAUUAACGAGCUGGGACUUGUUCUACCAGAUAUUAAAAUGCAUUAGAUAGCUACAACAGCUAAAACAGCAAUUUCAACAAAGAAAUACAGUCCUAUUAAACCAAACAGAGUAUAGAAACAGAGCCAGGUGUAUGAGGAAUUGUAGUGUAUGAUAAAGGUGACAUUUCCAACUGGUGGAGAAAAAGAAGUCAAUAAACAGAAUGGGACUAGCCACAGACUAGCCACUUGGAGAAAAAUUAAGCUAGAGCUCCACCUCUCUCAUUAAAUCUAAAUAAAUUCCACCUAGAUCAAAAAUUUACAUGUGAUAAAAGAAACAAUAAAAGUAUUGAAAGAAACAAAUGGAUAUUUUUAUAAUCCUGGAACUAUUAAUCUUUUAACUAUAUUUUAAUAAUUAGGCAGUUUUCCUAAGCACAAUAUGGAAGUUAAAAAAUCCUUGGGGGCCGGGCGCGGUGGCUCAUGCCUGUAAUCCCAGCACUUUGUGACGCUGAGGCAGGCAGAUCACUUGAGGUCAGGAGUUGGAGACCAGCCUGGACAACAUGGUGAAACCCCGUCUCUACUAAAAUUACAAAAAUUAGCCCGGCAUGGUGGCACAUGCCUGUAGUCUCAGCUACUUGAGAGGCUGAGGCAGGAGAAUCGCUUGAACCCGGGAGACAGAGUUUGCAGUAAGCCGAGAUUGCGCCGUUGCACUCCAGCCUGGGUGACAGAGGGAGACUCCGUCUCAAAAAAAAAAAACAAAAAACAAAAAAAAAACAGGCCUAAACAUGCUAUUAACAAAAGAAGAAAUACAAAUGGAAAUAAAUACUUGAAAAGAUUUUCAGCCUCAUUAGGAAUGGAACUACAGAUUAAAACAAGAUUGAGAUAUUUUUCAAUAGAUCAGAGUGGCAAAGGUUAAAAAGAUUGGCAGAAUUCAGCAAAGAUGGAGGGAAACAGACACAACUCAUGCACUGUUGAUGGGAGUGCAAAUUCAUACAAUUGAUUUGGGAGGCAGGUUAGCAAUAUGUAACAAAAUCAUACUUGCUCUGGGUGUAUCAGGAUUUGAACACAAGUCUGGCUAACACAAGAAAAUUAUAGGCCAACAGUGGUGGCUCACGCCUGUAAUCUCAGCACUUUGGGAGGCUGAGGUGAGAGGACUGCUUGAGCCCAGGAGUUCAAGACCAUCCUGGGCAACACAGUGAGACCCUGUCUCUUUAUAAAAAAUAACAAUUUAAAAGAUUUUAGCCGGCCAUGGUGGCUCACGCCUGUGAUCCUAGCACUUUGGGAGGCUGAGGCGGGUGGAUCACCUGAGGUAGACCAGCCUGACCAACAUGGAGAAACCCCGUCUCUACUAAAAGUACAAAAUUAGCUGGGUGUGGUGGCGCAUGCCUGUAAUCCCAGCUACUUGGGAAGCUGAGGCAGGAGAAUCACUUGAACACGGGAGGCGGAAGUUGCGGUGAGCCAAGAUCACUGUAUUGCACUCCAGCCUGGGCAACAAGAGCAAAACUCCAUCUCAAAAAAAAAAAAAAAAAAAUUAAUAAAAUUAUAAUGGGAAAACCUUUUGAUUUGGUAAUUCAUGUACAGUGAUUUAUUCCAGGAGGAAAUUAAACAAGCGAACAGUGAUCUUUGUCCAAGGUUGCUUAAUAUAGCAUUGUAUAAAAUGGUAAAAAUCUGGAAGUAGCUUCAAUGACCAUCAAUAGUGUUAAAUAAAUUCUGGUACAAUAUAAUAUAAUAUAAUGCAAGGUACUGAUUUAAAACAAUAAUAUAAAUUUAAAUUAACUGGAUAUAUGUCCACAACAUAUCAUUGAGUGAAAAUAGGACAGGUGAGUAGAAUAAAUUUACAUAUACCAUGAUGGUCAAACUAAAAGAGUUUGCACAAAGAGGUAUCCAAAAGAUAAUCAUUGGCUCUGGGUAACGGAGUUUCCAGUGAUUUGUAAUUACUUUCUUAAAAUGUUUUUGUAUUGUUUGAAUUUUUUACCAUUAGAAGAUGUAACUUUUAUAAUCAAAAUAUUCAGUACCAGCCUAGGCAACAUGGCAAAACCAUGUUUCUUUUUUUUUUCCCGAGACAGUCUUGCUCUGUCACCCAGGUUGAAUUUCAAUAAGUUUCAGAUCAAAAACCUUGGAACUAUUGUUGCUUCUUUUUAUCUCCCCUCUCAUCUCUGAUUAUCAGCAGACAAAAUAAAUCUAAGGCACGUUCCUACUUCUCUGUCCCCACUGCCUGGUCCAAGCUGCCCUCUCUCAUCUGCAUUACCUUUGCCGGCCCACUGCACCUUCCUCACCCCAUCCCCGUGUCCCCAAACCCCCUGCCACUCCAAGCAGUCUCCUCACUUCCCCUUC